GACGAACGCUGGCGGCGUGCUUAACACAUGCAAGUCGAACGAAGUGGCGAACGGGGGAGUAAUACGUGGGUAACCUGCCCUCCUUUUUGGGAUAAGCCUUUGAAACAGGGUCUACUACCCAAUAAAGGUGGAUGGGCUCGCGGCCUAUCAGAUUGUUGGUGGGGGGAUGGGCUACCAAGGCGGUGCCGGGCAGCCGGCCUGAGAGGGUGCACGGCGACAUUGGUACGGGGAAACGGCCCAGAGGCCGACGGGAGGCAGCAGUGGGGGAUAUGGCCCAAUGGGGGAAAGACGGAUGCAGCGACUGCGCGGGGGGGAUGAAGGCUGUAGGGUUGUAAACCUCUUUCGCUAUGGAACGGGUAGGUGGAGAAGAAGCGCCGGCUAACUACGUGCCAGCAGCCGCGGUAAUAC
rnacentral:rRNA from 1 species